ACUCAAAGGAAUAGACGGGGGCCCGCACAAGCAGCGGAGCGUGUGGUUUAAUUCGAUGCAACGCGAAGAACCUUACCAGGGCUUGACAUGCUGGUUACAGCCGGCGAAAGCCGGCGGCCGCGAGGCGUCCAGCACAGGUGCUGCAUGGCUGUCGUCAGCUCGUGCCGUGAGGUGUUGGGUUAAGUCCCGCAACGAGCGCAACCCCCGGGUCUAGUUAGGUUCCUAGACCGACUGCCGGGACCAACCCGGAGGAAGGUGGGGAUGACGUCAAGUCAGCACGGCCCUUACGUCCUGGGCUACACACACGCUACAAUGGCCGGUACAGCGGGCGUUGCGAGGCCGCGAGGCGGAGCGAAUCCCUGCAAAGCCGGCCCCAGUUCAGAUCGGGGGCUGCAACUCGCCCCCGUGAAGACGGAGUUGCUAGUAACCGCGGGUCAGCACACCGCGGUGAAUACGUUCCCGGGCCUUGUACACACCGCCCGU
rnacentral:rRNA from 1 species